rnacentral:rRNA from 1 species
CAGUCGUACCUGCGGGUAAUCAGCCUUCUGGGCAUGAUUCUGUGGAGCGUGAGGAGUUAAUCACCCUCAUGUUUGCAUAUUCGUGCUCUUGGGUGUACUUGCUCGUGUGGUUGGUUAACAUCAAUUUCGGAUGCCAUAAAAUGACUGGAGGAAUGUAGCUUCGAUCUCGUAUUGAAGUGUUAUA